rnacentral:rRNA from 1 species
GUUGAACGCUGGCGGCAGGCCUAACACAUGCAAGUCGAACGGUAGCACAGAGAGCUUGCUCUCGGGUGACGAGUGGCGGACGGGUGAGUAAUGUCUGGGAAACUGCCCGAUGGAGGGGGAUAACUACUGGAAACGGUAGCUAAUACCGCAUAACGUCGCAAGACCAAAGUGGGGGACCUUCGGGCCUCACACCAUCGGAUGUGCCCAGAUGGGAUUAGCUAGUAGGUGGGGUAAUGGCUCACCUAGGCGACGAUCCCUAGCUGGUCUGAGAGGAUGACCAGCCACACUGGAACUGAGACACGGUCCAGACUCCUACGGGAGGCAGCAGUGGGGAAUAUUGCACAAUGGGCGCAAGCCUGAUGCAGCCAUGCCGCGUGUAUGAAGAAGGCCUUCGGGUUGUAAAGUACUUUCAGCAGGGAGGAAGGCGGUGAAGUUAAUAACUUCACCGAUUGACGUUACCCGCAGAAGAAGCACCGGCUAACUCCGUGCCAGCCGCCGCCGUAA